ensembl:lncRNA
GGUUUUUAUAUAAAUCCUUUGAAAAUACUAAAUUGAAGCAAGCAUUGAGCAAAAAAAAAACAGCACUCAAAAUGGAAGGCUUUUUUUUUUUUAAAUUGCCAAUUAAUAGGAAAACUGAAUGGUAGGGCUAUUUUCAGCUUGUCUAGCAAUAUUUGCAAUGAUUUAAAAGUAAAAAGGAAAGGGAGGUGAAGCAUGUGUUAGAGAGAAGCUGUAAGAAUUAGAGCUAUAUUAGAGUCCUUCAUCCAAUUAAGCACAUAACUUGGGGCUGCAGUUUUCAUCUGGAGAAGUUGGUUUGUUUAAUAUCAAGAGAUCAGAAAAUGUUAUUGCAAAGAGACCUACCCUCCUCCCCUCAAUGCUAUAGUGCUAUAACACUAUAUUCCCUGAGAUACAUACAGACCUGUAUACUGAGAUAGAUUGUUUCUUCUCCUCCAGUUAUUCGAAGCUGUAUUCAAAUCAUAUAUUUCCAGCAUCAAUUUUAAUUCAGGCUGAUGAUGAUAAUCUCCCUGAGUUCUCUGACCUUUCCCUCCAGGAACGCUUCCCUGUUAUACACUAGGGACUAAAAAGGACAGGCCAUUACAGAGCUGGGACAAAGUGCUCCUUUAGAGCUUGGUGCCUGAAUCAGCAGUAUGCCAGCUUAACGAGCUGACACAAAUUAUUGUGUCUUUCUGGAAACAAGUGGCCUUCUUGUCUCGGGAGACCAAUGUGAAAUGACAUAUUGAGGCAGUACUGGCAUUUCCAUCAUCACUGUUACCAAGGCUUGAGCUUAAGAAGGACAAGGGUACAGCUGAUCUAAACAGCAUGCAGCAUCAGUACAUAAAACCAUGAGAAAAUUGCCAGGUCAUAGCAAUGAGACAUCACUUUGACCCCCUGUGAGCUACAGGUUAAAAUGACUAAAGGAAGUUUAUAAGGAAAGCACAUUUGUUACAUAAGCCUUUAUAUGGGGCUCUGUCUCUUCUCUCUGCACAGGGUUUGCACCAAGAAUAAAGCCUGGGAAACAAGCAAAGACCAGGAAACAAAAGAAAAAAAAGACAAUUUUCCCAGAUUCACCCCUGCUUCCUCCACCCCACCUCCUCCAUCACCUGCUUCUCUACAUAUCUUGGUCCAGGAGUAUCUUGAAAGAAAGCAAGCAGCAGAUGGAAGUUAUGUUUGGCGUUACCUGAGAGUUGACUUCCACAGCUCAUCAGUCAGCACAGCUCUGACUGGCCAGAGAAUCUGGUACCGAUGUUUCAGCUCUGACUGGCCACCCUGAACUUGUAACAAGGUUUAACAAAAGCUCACGUCUUCCUCACCUCAAAAGACUUUCAGAUUUUGCUUUUGAGAUCUUAAAAUUCAUAUUCAAGGCAUCACUGGACUAGAAUUUCUGCCCCCUAAUUGGUUGACCUUGUUGGAUUGAUGAGGAUCUUGGAGCAGAACCAGCAGCAGAACCACUGUGGGCAUUCUGUGACCAUUCAAAGCUGUAUGUCACACCACACAGCUCUCACCCCAUCAUAAACUUUUUAUACCUAUGUCACACCUCAGCUUUAGAUCACACAUUAUGAAGUGACACUAAUUCUUUGAUCAUUUGCUGUACCUGGAGGGAAUUUUCCCUUCUGAGCCCAAUACCAUCAUUAAGAAGGAAAGACACUUUAUCUAGAGAUCACACUGCAAUUCCAUGAGGCUUUCAUCUCUUGUCACGAUGAGCUUAAUCCUCACAUUGGAGCGCAGAAGCUGUCUCCUCUGAUGGAGACAAACAAUGGGAGAUUGUGAAAGGAUUCUGUCACUGAUUGACUGCAUAUGCACAAGGGAAUUAUAAGCAGUCAUUAAGAUGCCAAAACAGGAAAAAUGUAUCAUGAAAGAUUCACACUAGUUUGUCAGGAUUUUUUACUUAGCAUUUGAAACAGAUCCUAUUGCUUGUUCCCAAAUAAGGAUACCACCAUUUUGCCAGAGAAUACCUUAUUUCACAUGUGGACUUUCUAUGUCUGGAGAUUCUGCUGAUUUCUCCCGUUAAGCCAUGUCAGCUAAGGGCAGUGCUUUGAUAACAGACUUCCAGGAGGAAGGGGAAGAAAAAAAAAAAAAGUCAGAAGACAAUGGGAGACUUGCAAAUGACUCAACACAGUUAUGUUUCUUUUUCUUUUUUUUUCCCCUCAGUCUUGAAGCAACACCCAAGAGUACUAUUUAGUCACACAGUUUACUAAGAUCAUGUUGUUAAAGACCCUAUGACACACCUCAAGAUCUUGAAUGCCAGCGAUUUUCCAUUCAGAGCUCAUAAU